rnacentral:rRNA from 1 species
AUUGAACGCUGGCGGCAUGCUUUACACAUGCAAGUCGAACGGCAGUGGGUCCUUCGGGAUGCCGGCGAGUGGCGAACGGGUGAGUAAUGCAUCGGAACGUACCCAGACGUGGGGGAUAACUACGCGAAAGCGUAGCUAAUACCGCAUACGCCCUGAGGGGGAAAGCGGGGGAUCUUCGGACCUCGCGCGAUUGGAGCGGCCGAUGUCGGAUUAGCUAGUUGGUGGGGUAAAGGCCUACCAAGGCGAUGAUCCGUAGCUGGUCUGAGAGGAUGAUCAGCCACACUGGGACUGAGACACGGCCCAGACUCCUACGGGAGGCAGCAGUGGGGAAUAUUGGACAAUGGGCGCAAGCCUGAUCCAGCAAUGCCGCGUGUGUGAAGAAGGCCUGCGGGUUGUAAACCGCUUUCAGCCGGAAAGAAAUCGCACGGACUAAUACUCUGUGUGGAUGACGGUACCGGAAGAAGAAGCACCGGCUAACUACGUGCCAGC